ensembl:ncRNA C34F6.13 ncRNA
GUGGUUGCUUUGAAACGCAAUGAAACGCGUUCAAAUUGUCGGCGGCUUGGUCAGUUUGGUUGAACUGUUCGAUCACGCAGACAAACAUUACAAAAAAUGCUGGGUUGGGUGGGUGGUUUGGUUGCAGGCAAAAAACUUACUG